GCAUAAUUGGCUGAGCUAUGAGUUUAAACUCAUACUUUCCUGCGCGCGGCCUGUCUAUUUUUUGAAACGGAAUUUCCAUUCAGGCGCAGCCCCGGGCCAUUGUUGAUUUGAAUGAUGGAGCGAUGGAGCGAUGGAGCAGACAGACAGACAGACAUCCGACUGGCCUCUUUUCGGCUUGGCUUUGUAAUGCGACCAGACAAAUACAGUGGGCCAUAGAGUAUCAUUAAUAAAAUAAUGCCACAAGAAGAAUGGGAGGCUCAUACAAAAGGAGACGGAGCCGUAGGAGAGGCAACAAAAACAGCUUUGCAAGUAGCCAGGACUUAAGGAUGAGGCCGUGGAGGACCGAAAAUCCUCCGACCAAAACGAGGAGUCCUCCUCCACGACAGAUCCAAGGCGGCAUCGCAUGGAAUUGGAGCGAAGGUGAAGCCACUGCUGGAGCCAACUGAAUGAAUGUCAGCAUGAUAUAUCGUUUAAUUUAUGUAUUGUGGGCGUAUAAAGUGGGUGUACCCGCUCCAGCUCCUUCGUGCUUUUGCCAUCAAUGGAAGACCAAGUGGAAAAUUUAAUAAAAACAUUUUGCAAGCAUUUUCGACGGACCCCGAGACUGACGGGGGCUUAAGCAUGAAAAUGUAAUUAGAAUGAAGCCUGGA